CCUACGGGGGGCUGCAGUGGGGAAUAUUGGACAAUGGGGGGAACCCUGAUCCAGCCAUGCCGCGUGUGUGAAGAAGGCCCUCGGGUUGUAAAGCACUUUCAGUGAGGAAGAACGCCUGGUGGUUAAUACCCAUCAGGAAAGACAUCACUCACAGAAGAAGCACCGGCUAACUCCGUGCCAGCAGCCGCGGUAAUACGGAGGGUGCGAGCGUUAAUCGGAAUUACUGGGCGUAAAGCGCGCGUAGGUGGCUUGAUAAGCCGGUUGUGAAAGCCCCGGGCUCAACCUGGGAACGGCAUCCGGAACUGUCAAGCUAGAGUGCAGGAGAGGAAGGUAGAAUUCCCGGUGUAGCGGUGAAAUGCGUAGAGAUCGGGAGGAAUACCAGUGGCGAAGGCGGCCUUCUGGACUGACACUGACACUGAGGUGCGAAAGCGUGGGUAGCAAACAGGAUUAGAUACCCUAGUAGUA
rnacentral:rRNA from 1 species